rnacentral:rRNA from 1 species
UUAAGCGACUAAGCGUACACGGUGGAUGCCCUGGCAGUCAGAGGCGAUGAAGGACGUGCUAAUCUGCGAUAAGCGUCGGUAAGGUGAUAUGAACCGUUAUAACCGGCGAUUUCCGAAUGGGGAAACCCAGUGUGAUUCGUCACACUAUCAUUACGUGAAUACAUAGCGUAAUGAAGCGAACCGGGGGAACUGAAACAUCUAAGUACCCCGAGGAAAAGAAAUCAACCGAGAUUCCCCCAGUAGCGGCGAGCGAACGGGGAGCAGCCCAGAGUCUGAAUCAGCUUGUGUGUUAGUGGAACGGUCUGGAAAGUCCGACGGUACAGGGUGAUAGUCCCGUACACCAAAAUGCACAGGUUGUGAACUCGAAGAGUAGGGCGGGACACGUGGUAUCCUGUCUGAAUAUGGGGGGACCAUCCUCCAAGGCUAAAUACUCCUGACUGACCGAUAGUGAACCAGUACCGUGAGGGAAAGGCGAAAAGAACCCCGGCGAGGGGAGUGAAAAAGAACCUGAAACCGUGUACGUACAAGCAGUGGGAGCAUCCUUUUGGGUGUGACUGCGUACCUUUUGUAUAAUGGGUCAGCGACUUAUAUUCUGUAGCAAGGUUAACCGUAUAGGGGAGCCGAAGGGAAACCGAGUCUUAACUGGGCGUUAAGUUGCAGGGUAUAGACCCGAAACCCGGUGAUCUAGCCAUGGGCAGGUUGAAGGUUGGGUAACACUAACUGGAGGACCGAACCGACUAAUGUUGAAAAAUUAGCGGAUGACUUGUGGCUGGGGGUGAAAGGCCAAUCAAACCGGGAGAUAGCUGGUUCUCCCCGAAAGCUAUUUAGGUAGCGCCUCGUGAAUUCAUCUUCGGGGGUAGAGCACUGUUUCGGCUAGGGGGUCAUCCCGACUUACCAACCCGAUGCAAACUGCGAAUACCGAAGAAUGUUAUCACGGGAGACACACGGCGGGUGCUAACGUCCGUCGUGAAGAGGGAAACAACCCAGACCGCCAGCUAAGGUCCCAAAGUCAUGGUUAAGUGGGAAACGAUGUGGGAAGGCACAGACAGCCAGGAUGUUGGCUUAGAAGCAGCCAUCAUUUAAAGAAAGCGUAAUAGCUCACUGGUCGAGUCGGCCUGCGCGGAAGAUGUAACGGGGCUAAACCAUGCACCGAAGCUGCGGCAGCGACACUAUGUGUUGUUGGGUAGGGGAGCGUUCUGUAAGCCGUUGAAGGUGUGCUGUGAGGCAUGCUGGAGGUAUCAGAAGUGCGAAUGCUGACAUAAGUAACGAUAAUGCGGGUGAAAAACCCGCACGCCGGAAGACCAAGGGUUCCUGUCCAACGUUAAUCGGGGCAGGGUGAGUCGACCCCUAAGGCGAGGCCGAAAGGCGUAGUCGAUGGGAAACAGGUUAAUAUUCCUGUACUUGGUGUUACUGCGAAGGGGGGACGGAGAAGGCUAUGUUAGCCGGGCGACGGUUGUCCCGGUUUAAGCAUGUAGGCGGAGGUUCCAGGUAAAUCCGGUACCUUUUUAACGCUGAGGUGUGAUGACGAGGCACUACGGUGCUGAAGUAACAAAUGCCCUGCUUCCAGGAAAAGCCUCUAAGCAUCAGGUAACACGAAAUCGUACCCCAAACCGACACAGGUGGUCAGGUAGAGAAUACCAAGGCGCUUGAGAGAACUCGGGUGAAGGAACUAGGCAAAAUGGUGCCGUAACUUCGGGAGAAGGCACGCUGAUAUGUAGGUGAAGUGAUUUACUCAUGGAGCUGAAAUCAGUCGAAGAUACCAGCUGGCUGCAACUGUUUAUUAAAAACACAGCACUGUGCAAACACGAAAGUGGACGUAUACGGUGUGACGCCUGCCCGGUGCCGGAAGGUUAAUUGAUGGGGUUAUCCGUAAGGAGAAGCUCUUGAUCGAAGCCCCGGUAAACGGCGGCCGUAACUAUAACGGUCCUAAGGUAGCGAAAUUCCUUGUCGGGUAAGUUCCGACCUGCACGAAUGGCGUAAUGAUGGCCAGGCUGUCUCCACCCGAGACUCAGUGAAAUUGAACUCGCUGUGAAGAUGCAGUGUACCCGCGGCAAGACGGAAAGACCCCGUGAACCUUUACUAUAGCUUGACACUGAACACUGGUCCUUGAUGUGUAGGAUAGGUGGGAGGCUUUGAAGUGUGGACGCCAGUCUGCAUGGAGCCAUCCUUGAAAUACCACCCUUUAAUGGCUGGUGUUCUAACGUGGACCCGUAAUCCGGGUUGCGGACAGUGUCUGGUGGGUAGUUUGACUGGGGCGGUCUCCUCCUAAAGAGUAACGGAGGAGCACGAAGGUUAGCUAAUCCUGGUCGGACAUCAGGAGGUUAGUGCAAAGGCAUAAGCUAGCUUGACUGCGAGAGUGACGGCUCGAGCAGGUGCGAAAGCAGGUCUUAGUGAUCCGGUGGUUCUGAAUGGAAGGGCCAUCGCUCAACGGAUAAAAGGUACUCCGGGGAUAACAGGCUGAUACCGCCCAAGAGUUCAUAUCGACGGCGGUGUUUGGCACCUCGAUGUCGGCUCAUCACAUCCUGGGGCUGAAGUAGGUCCCAAGGGUAUGGCUGUUCGCCAUUUAAAGUGGUACGCGAGCUGGGUUUAGAACGUCGUGAGACAGUUCGGUCCCUAUCUGCCGUGGGCGCUGGAGAAUUGAGGGGGGCUGCUCCUAGUACGAGAGGACCGGAGUGGACGCAUCACUGGUGUUCGGGUUGUCAUGCCAAUGGCAUUGCCCGGUAGCUAAAUGCGGAAGAGAUAAGUGCUGAAAGCAUCUAAGCACGAAACUUGCCCCGAGAUGAGUUCUCCCUGAGACUUUAAGUCUCCUGAAGGAACGUUGAAGACGACGACGUUGAUAGGUCGGGUGUGUAAGCGUAGCGAUACGUUGAGCUAACCGAUACUAAUGAACCGUGAGGCUUAACCUU